GUGGGGAAUAUUGGACAAUGGGCGCAAGCCUGAUCCAGCCAUGCCGCGUGAGUGAUGAAGGCCUUAGGGUUGUAAAGCUCUUUCAGUGGGGACGAUAAUGAUGGUACCCACAGAAGAAGCCCCGGCUAACUUCGUGCCAGCAGCCGCGGUAAUACGAAGGGGGCUAGCGUUGUUCGGAUUUACUGGGCGUAAAGCGCACGUAGGCGGAAUGUUAAGUCAGAGGUGAAAUCCUGGAGCUCAACUCCAGAACUGCCUUUGAUACUGGCAAUCUCGAGUCCGUAAGAGGUGAGUGGAACUCCUAGUGUAGAGGUGGAAUUCGUAGAUAUUAGGAAGAACACCAGUGGCGAAGGCGGCUCACUGGUCCGGUACUGACGCUGAGGUGCGAAAGCGUGGGGAGCAAACAGGAUUAGAUACCGGGUAGUCC
rnacentral:rRNA from 1 species